rnacentral:rRNA from 1 species
AGAGUUUGAUCCUGGCUCAGGAUGAACGCUAGCUACAGGCUUAACACAUGCAAGUCGAGGGGAAACGAUAUUGGAAGCUUGCUUCCGAUAGGCGUCGACCGGCGCACGGGUGAGUAACGCGUAUCCAACCUGCCCAUCACUUGGGAAUAACCUUGCGAAAGUAAGACUAAUGCCCAAUGACAUUUAUAGAAGGCAUCGGAAAUGAAUUAAAGAUUUAUCGGUGAUGGAUGGGGAUGCGUCUGAUUAGCUUGUUGGCGGGGUAACGGCCCACCAAGGCGACGAUCAGUAGGGGUUCUGAGAGGAAGGUCCCCCACAUUGGAACUGAGACACGGUCCAAACUCCUACGGGAGGCAGCAGUGAGGAAUAUUGGUCAAUGGGCGAGAGCCUGAACCAGCCAAGUAGCGUGCAGGAAGACGGCCCUAUGGGUUGUAAACUGCUUUUAUAGGGGGAUAAAGUGUGCCACGUGUGGCAUAUUGCAGGUACCCUAUGAAUAAGGACCGGCUAAUUCCGUGCCAGCAGCCGCGGUAAUACGGAAGGUCCGGGCGUUAUCCGGAUUUAUUGGGUUUAAAGGGAGCGUAGGCCGGAGAUUAAGCGUGUUGUGAAAUGUAGACGCUCAACGUCUGCACUGCAGCGCGAACUGGUUUCCUUGAGUACGCAUAAAGUGGGCGGAAUUCGUGGUGUAGCGGUGAAAUGCUUAGAUAUCACGAAGAACUCCGAUUGCGAAGGCAGCUCACUGGGGCGCAACUGACGCUGAAGCUCGAAAGCGCGGGUAUCGAACAGGAUUAGAUACCCUGGUAGUCCGCGCGGUAAACGAUGGAUGCCCGCUGUUGGGCCAACUGGUUCAGCGGCCAAGCGAAAGCAUUAAGCAUCCCACCUGGGGAGUACGCCGGCAACGGUGAAACUCAAAGGAAUUGACGGGGGCCCGCACAAGCGGAGGAACAUGUGGUUUAAUUCGAUGAUACGCGAGGAACCUUACCCGGGCUUGAAUUGCAGAGGAAGGAUUUGGAGACAAUGACGCCCUUCGGGGCCUCUGUGAAGGUGCUGCAUGGUUGUCGUCAGCUCGUGCCGUGAGGUGUCGGCUUAAGUGCCAUAACGAGCGCAACCCUUGUUCGUAGUUGCCAUCGGGUGAUGCCGGGCACUCUGCGAAGACUGCCUCCGUAAGGAGUGAGGAAGGUGGGGAUGACGUCAAAUCAGCACGGCCCUUACGUCCGGGGCUACACACGUGUUACAAUGG